CCUACGGGAGGCAGCAGUGGGGAAUCUUGCGCAAUGGGCGAAAGCCUGACGCAGCAACGCCGCGUGCGGGAUGACGGCCUUCGGGUUGUAAACCGCUUUCAGUGGGGACGAACCAAGACGGUACCCACAGAAGAAGCCCCGGCCAACUACGUGCCAGCAGCCGCGGUAACACGUAGGGGGCGAGCGUUGUCCGGAUUUAUUGGGCGUAAAGAGCUCGUAGGCGGUUCGAUAAGUCGGGUGUGAAACCUCCAGGCUCAACCUGGAGACGCCACCCGAUACUGUUGUGACUAGAGUCCAGUAGGGGAGCGUGGAAUUCCUGGUGUAGCGGUGAAAUGCGCAGAUAUCAGGAGGAACACCAGUGGCGAAGGCGGCGCUCUGGGCUGGAACUGACGCUGAGGAGCGAAAGCGUGGGGAGCGAACAGGAUUAGAUACCCUGGUAGUCCACGCCGUAAACGUUGGGUACUAGGUGUGGGGUCUUAUCAACGGAUUCCGUGCCGCAGCUACGACAUAACGUACCCGCCGUCGGGAGGUACGGCCGCGAGGACGUAAACCUACAANAGAAUUAGACGGCGUGAGACGUCGCCGACGGACGACGACGAGGGAGGUAGG
rnacentral:rRNA from 1 species